rnacentral:rRNA from 1 species
GACGAACGCUGGCGGCGUGCUUAACACAUGCAAGUCGAACGGAAAGGCUCCAGCUUGCUGGAGUACUCGAGUGGCGAACGGGUGAGUAACACGUGGGUAAUCUGCCCUGCACUCUGGGAUAAGCCUGGGAAACUGGGUCUAAUACUGGAUAUGACCUUUCUCCUUAUGGGGUUUGGUGGAAAGUUUUUUGGUGUAGGAUGAGCCCGCGGCCUAUCAGCUUGUUGGUGGGGUGAUGGCCUACCAAGGCGACGACGGGUAGCCGGCCUGAGAGGGUGAUCGGCCACAUUGGGACUGAGAUACGGCCCAGACUCCUACGGGAGGCAGCAGUGGGGAAUAUUGCACAAUGGGCGGAAGCCUGAUGCAGCGACGCCGCGUGAGGGAUGACGGCCUUCGGGUUGUAAACCUCUUUCAGCAGGGACGAAGCGUAAGUAACGGUACCUGCAGAAGAAGCACCGGCUAACUACGUG